rnacentral:rRNA from 3 species
UACGUAGGGGGCAAGCGUUGUCCGGAUUUAUUGGGCGUAAAGAGCGUGUAGGCGGCUUGGUAGGUCUCGCGUCAAAACCUGAGGCUCAACCUCAGUUCGCGUGGGAAACCACCUAGCUAGAGUCCGGAAGAGGAGAACGGAAUUCCCAGUGUAGCGGUGAAAUGCGCAGAUAUUGGGAAGAACACCAGUGGCGAAGGCGGUUCUCUGGGACGGUACUGACGCUGAGACGCGAAAGCGUGGGGAGCGAACAGG